GAUCGUAGCGAGGAAGGAUCUGACAGUUUUAGAAAGAUAAUAUACUUCAUAUAAAGACUAAAAAUAAAAUCGUUUAAUGGAGAUUUACAAAGUAUUAGGUACAUUAAGCCAGCUUGUGUUCCGACUUUUAAGUUCAACGAAUAGGAUGAAACCAAAUCAAGCAGAAAAUAAAAGUGGUGCCAAGAAGGGGAUGAUUGGGAUCAAAAAUGAAUCUGAGGCAUUUGGUAAAUAUCAAAGUACAUUUUGCAAGAAGCUUGAAAGCGAAACUCACCAUAAAAGCAUGUAUCAACAAGAAAGCAAAACAGAGCAGCAUAGCUGUAAAACGUUGAACAUUAAACUUGAAAAUGAAUUACAAUCAUUGAAAUUGUCUUUGGAAAAAAAGUUCAAAUGAAAAUGAGUCCUUACAUAAGGUUGUUACUGAUUUACACAUGAAAAUAAAAACUUUAGAAGAACGUGAAAAACAAUUGAAAAGUGAAAUUUCUAAGUUGCAAAAACGGGAAGAACUAAGUUUAGAUUAUUACGAAAGCGAAAACAAAAACCUCGCUAACACCGUUCGCCAUUUACAACCUUAUAAACUUGAAAAUGAACAAAUGAAAACAACAAUAGGAAUGCUUCAUAAGAACAUUCAUGAACUCAACAUGAUGUUAGACGAGGCAAAAUUAAAGACAGUUAGCGACGAAAAAGGAAUAACGGAAUACAUUUUAGAAUCUGUAGGUAUACAGGUUUUCAUCUCUGAGGGAUUCUAAAUUUGAAUCUAUUUCAUUUUAUAAAAAAAAAUAACAUUUUUAAAUAUUUGUAUUUGACUUUAUACAUUUAUCAGCUGAAUAUUUGUUAGAUAUAUCUUCAUCAUUAAUGCUGUUUUGAUGGAGUUCAGGAUGUUCGCUAGUCUUGUUUUUGUCUUUUUUUUUUUCUUUUUUUUUUGUCAGAUAUUCGAAAUCCUUUUGUUUUAUCAAUAUGUAGCAACACAUCAAUAACUGUGCACUCUCAUCCCUUCUUUACUUUUCAUAAUUGUAUUACACAAAAUGUAAAAAGCAAUUUUGAAAAUCUUAUAAAAUCCUCGUUAUUUUUCGUACUUUUUGAAAGAAAGAAGGUGCCAAUGUUAAAUGUACGGAAAAUCUAGAGAGAAUCAUUUCCAAAUUGGCUUUUAUCUCAUAAACAAAGACUCGGACCUUUCAAUUUGUUCAGAUUUUUAAAUUACAUAUUUUUUAAACUAACAUUUUUUUAAAAAGCUUGGUAUUUUGAAAAUGAGCACGCUACAUUAUUAACCCUCAAAUAUUUUGACACAUUUAACUUUUGUAUAAAAUUUCUAUUAAAUGCAUCCAUUAUUCAA